rnacentral:rRNA from 1 species
AGCGGCGGACGGGUGAGUAACGCAUGGGAACUUACCCAGUAGUGGGGGAUAGCCCGGGGAAACCCGGAUUAAUACCGCAUACGCCCUGAGGGGGAAAGCGGGCUCCGGCUCGCGCUAUUGGAUGGGCCCAUGUCGGAUUAGUUAGUUGGUGGGGUAAUGGCCUACCAAGGCGACGAUCCGUAGCUGGUCUGAGAGGAUGAUCAGCCACACCGGGACUGAGACACGGCCCGGACUCCUACGGGAGGCAGCAGUGGGGAAUAUUGGACAAUGGGGGCAACCCUGAUCCAGCCAUGCCGCGUGUGUGAAGAAGGCCUUAGGGUUGUAAAGCACUUUCAGCAGGGAGGAA